GGCCUGGUAGUUCAGUUGGUUAGAACGCUAGCCUGUCACGCUAGAGGUCGUCGGUUCGAACCCGAUCCAGGUCGCCA
rnacentral:tRNA from 1 species